AGUGAACGUUGGCGGCGUGGAUUAGGCAUGCAAGUCGAGCGAGAACCGUAGCAAUACGGGGACAGCGGCGAAAGGGACAGUAAUGUGUAGGUACCUACCCCGAGGUCUGGGAUAGCUGCGGGAAACUGCAGGUAAUACCGGAUAAUGUCUUCGGACCAAAGGUGUGAUUCCACCUUGGGAGGGGCCUGCAUCCUAUUAGCUUGUUGGCGGGGUAACGGCCCACCAAGGCGACGAUGGGUAGCGGGUGUGAGAGCACGACCCGCGUCAUUGGGACUGAGACACUGCCCAGACACCUACGGGUGGCUGCAGUCGAGGAUCUUCGGCAAUGGGCGAAAGCCUGACCGAGCGACGCCGCGUGUGGGAUGAAGGCCCUCGGGUUGUAAACCACUGUCAGAGGAGAGGAAGUGUUGGGGGGAUCACCCCUCAGCUUGACCUAUCCUCAAAGGAAGGACGGGCUAAGUUCGUGCCAGCAGCCGCCGCAG
rnacentral:rRNA from 1 species